GACAGAGGGGGCAAGCGUUGCUCGGGAUUACUGGGCGUAAAGGGCGCGUAGGCGGAAUGGCAAGUCGGUCGUGAAAUCCUUCGGCUCAACCGAAGAACGUCGAUCGAAACUGCCGUUCUUGAGGAUUGCAGAGGAGACUGGAAUUCCCGGUGUAGCGGUGAAAUGUGUAGAGAUCGGGAGGAACACCGGUGGCGAAGGCGGGUCUCUGGGCAAUUCCUGACGCUGAGGCGCGAAAGCGUGGGGAGCAAACGGG
rnacentral:rRNA from 1 species